GCCAAAGUGGCGUUGGAAAAGGAUGCGCAAUCAAUACUCGGGCAGCUUCCGGACUUCGGGAACUCUAAUCUGUGACAGGGAAAGUUGGAAGUGAAGAUAAGCAAAGUGCUGCAAGGGGUUAACACCCAAUACAGGAUGUGUCACUGUUUCCAAACUGAACUCUUAAAUUUGGCGCUUAAUGAGUUUUGUGGGACGGUAACACCGAAACUUGGAGGUACGCAGUUUGACCGGUGAAAAUAACAGAAAGGCCUUCUGCUCCUGCAUCGUGGCCCAGUGCAAUGACCAAAAAUUGUCUUUUCCGGUCCCAGAUCGAAUUCGAACUGUUUGAAGAUGAGGAUUAUCUGACUAUCACACGACUUCCAAUGGAGUUCUCCCAAGCAACAACUUUAUAAAUCCGAAAGAUUAUCUGCUCCCUGAAUUGAGAUGAAACCAGCUCUCAGAAGUUACUUUGUGGCUUUGUUAACUAUGAGAUUCCAGCAUUAAAGAAGACUUCAAUUGGAAGACCAGCAACAAGAGGAGCCUCCAGAGGCUGUCAUACUGGAUGGAGAGAGACAGCUGAAGAUCAACCAAGAGGAAGAUGAGAGUGACCACCACCUGAAUAUUCAGGUUUCGCUGUCAUUAUCUACUGCUGUCAGAAACACAAUGUAGGCACAGACUGAGGAUACUGUAGGUCAUCAUCACCAAGCUGUCAUCAGUUGGAGUAGAACUUGUACUUGGAGGGAACAGAAUGCCAUCCCAUUCUGUACCUGUCAAGGGCAUAGUCGCCUUGAAUGUUUAUGCCAGUAGCUUAUUCUAGUAGUAACUGGACACUUGUGUGGCAUCACGGUCCAAAAAUGCAUCCAGGAUGUCACUGGUUCCAUUUUCUCCAGAUUACAUCAGUUUAUAUCCUUCUCUUGUGGAGAAUCAAACAGUGGAAUUCUUUACCAUCAGCAGAAAUGGGGGACUGACAGCAUUCCUCUAAGGAUAAGGACAUUGAUGCAGAGGCACAUGCAAGCGUUCUUGGUAGAGCUAUACAUCUUUGAGCUUGCGAGGCCAGACAGAACAUCAUUGAAUUCUGCUUUCAGGAAGAAUAAGCUGGGCUUUGAUUUCCUUUCAUUGUGUUACUUCCUGUAGGUUAUACAGCAAUGAGUCCCUGGUCACUCCACAGUACUGUGGACCUGUUUGCCUGCAGAUUCCUUGAACUUUUCUAUGGAUGAAUAAAUGUUUUGUUAUCCAUAUGAUUGUACUUGUGCCAACUUGAACUGACUUAACUGGAAAUAAUUUGUUGUUUAGAGACCCCCUUUAGUAUUCUGGAGAUAGAAGCAGUCAGUGAGACAGGGCAGUUACAUUGCAUGGCAUGAUACUAUGUCCAGAUGGCUUUUAAGACUUCAGAUCGCAUAUUGAGUGUUGUGCAUGAUUGUGUGAAAACUGCAUAGAUUACAUAUUGAAAUAUAAAUUGGAGAAUUGAAGUUUGCAUUCUUAGUUUUUUUUUGACAAUUCAAAGGAAAAGUGAAACUAUGUGGUGUUCACUCAUUAGUUAGGUAAGAGCAUGUGACUUUUGAAAGAAGCUGAAUUUGAUACCUUGUGAGACUAAGUGGUACCAGGCACCUUUGGAUUCAACAGCUUCUAUAGAAGUAUUAAGGAACAGUUUUGUCACAGUAUUGAAGGACUGGAACAGUUGAACUAAGAUGUCCAAAAGCCUUCAAGCUAGCCAGAUCUCUCUCUUUUUCUCCUACAGUGGAAUAAAACAAAUACAAACAGAUAUUUCAAGAAAAGAAUUUCUACCUCAAGCAAAAGGCCUAGGUCCAAUUAACCAGCUGCAGAAUAGAGAAUCAUCACAGUCAAUAAUGAAGUGAUAUUAUUGCCAAAAAACAAACCAAAAAACUCUGAGUACGUCACCUCAUUCACUUCUCUUUGGUUGUUUGGAUUCUUGAUCCACAGACUUUGUUCCUUUUUGCCUACAUUUUCCACACAUGACAAUCCUGUAAAGCAGUUUGUCUUGCCUUUACUGUCCAUCCAAUUGUAAAUUAAUGUGUGUGUGUUUGAAUUUAAAGGGCUUAGUUUGCAUAUUAGUAAUUAAUAAUCAAUCUUAGACACUUACUGAAGUAUAUUUAUUUACAAUAAAUAUGCUUUUUGUUUUCAUGUUCAUUGAUGAAACCUGUUGUGAGUUUCAUUUAUCUUAUAUAUUGGUCACAAUCAACAUUAGCCAGCUUUGAGAUUAAAUUGGUCAUUUACACAU